rnacentral:rRNA from 1 species
GAACAAGCGAAUAAGUGCACAUGGUGGAUGCCUUGGCGAUUACAGGCGAUGAAGGACGUAGUAGCUUGCGAUAAGCUGCGGGGAGCUGGCAAACAAGCUUUGAUCCGCAGAUUUCCGAAUGGGGAAACCCGGCCGUAAGGUCAUCGUUAUCUGAAUACAUAGGGUAACGAAGCGAACGUGGCGAACUGAAACAUCUAAGUAGCUACAGGAAAAGAAAUCAACCGAGAUUCCCAAAGUAGUGGCGAGCGAAAUGGGAUCAGCCUGCAAGAUUUAGCAUCAACGAUAGCAAAACGGAAUGGAAAGUCCGGCCAUAGUGGGUGAUAGCCCCGUAUGCGAAAUCGAUGGUGUGGAACUAGGCUUGCGACAAGUAGGGCGGGACACGUGAAAUCCUGUCUGAACAUGGGGGGACCAUCCUCCAAGGCUAAAUACUCGUAAUCGACCGAUAGUGAACCAGUACCGUGAGGGAAAGGCGAAAAGAACCCCGGAAGGGGAGUGAAAUAGAUCCUGAAACCGUGUGCAUACAAACAGUAGGAGCCUCGUAAGGGGUGACUGCGUACCUUUUGUAUAAUGGGUCAGCGACUUACAUUCAGUGGCAAGCUUAACCGAAUAGGGAAGGCGUAGAGAAAUCGAGUCCGAAUAGGGCGUUCAGUCGCUGGGUGUAGACCCGAAACCAAGUGAUCUAUCCAUGGCCAGGUUGAAGGUGCGGUAACACGCACUGGAGGACCGAACCCACUAAUGUUGAAAAAUUAGGGGAUGAGCUGUGGAUAGGGGUGAAAGGCUAAACAAACUUGGAAAUAGCUGGUUCUCUCCGAAAACUAUUUAGGUAGUGCCUCAAGUAUCACCAUCGGGGGUAGAGCACUGUUAUGGCUAGGGGGUCAUCGCGACUUACCAAACCAUUGCAAACUCCGAAUACCGAUGAGUGCGAGCUUGGGAGACAGACGCCGGGUGCUAACGUCCGACGUCAAGAGGGAAACAACCCAGACCGCCAGCUAAGGUCCCAAAGAUUGGCUAAGUGGAAAACGAAGUGGGAAGGCUAAAACAGUCAGGAGGUUGGCUUAGAAGCAGCCAUCCUUUAAAGAAAGCGUAAUAGCUCACUGAUCGAGUCGUCCUGCGCGGAAGAUGUAACGGGGCUAAGCCAGUCACCGAAGCUGCGGAUAUCCG